CGCGUAGGCGGUUUUAUAAGUCAGAUGUGAAAGCCCAUGGCUCAACCAUGGACGUGCAUUUGAAACUGUGAGACUUGAGUAUUGGAGGGGGUGGUGGAAUUCCCGGUGUAGAGGUGAAAUUCGUAGAUAUCGGGAGGAAUACCGGUGGCGAAGGCGACCACCUGGCCAAAUACUGACGCUAAGGCGCGAAAGCGUGGGGAGCAAACA
rnacentral:rRNA from 1 species